GUGGGAUGCUCCAUUCUGGGUGAGCUACAUAACGGUUAGUUUUUAACCUAUUUUUGAUGCAUUUAAUGUGUAUUAAACAUACUCCAAUGCCUCUAAACCAACUCUAAGAUAUUCUCAAGGAUAAAUGGCAACUAUAAAUACUCUAUUCAAGUGAAAAAUCAUAAGGUUUUUACAAACUCAAAGAUUAAAUCUGAGAAAAAUCA
rnacentral:lncRNA from 1 species